CGAGGGUCUGCGGCUUCAUUCCUGAAGUCAGCGAGACCACGAACCCACCAGGAGGAACAAACAACUCCGGACGUGCCACCUUUAAGAGCUGUAACACUCACUGCAAAGGUCUGUGGCUUCACUCCUGAAGUCGGCAAGACCAGGAACCCACCGGAAGGAAGAAACUCCAGACACAUUUGAACAUCUGAAGGAACAAACUCCCGACACACCAUCUUUAAGAACUGUAACGUGAGGGUCUGUGGCUUCAUUCUUAAAGUCAGUGAGACCAAGAACCCACCGGAAGGAACCAAUUCUGGACACGAUAUGACUACAAAAUGUUAGAAGGAGCAGUCCAGAAAAGGAAACAGCAUGUGCAAAAGCUCAACUGUGGGAAGGAACUCAGUGCAUUCAAGGAAGAAAAAGUAGACCAGUGAGUCUCAAAUAGAGUGAAUUCAGGGAAGAAGUGCAAGAAAUGAAGAUGGAGAGUCAAGACAGAUCCAGGUGGUGCAGGGCCUUGUAGGAAAUGAUGCAGAAGGCCAAAAGGGAAGCUGCGGUGCUUUUCAGGACAAAGCCUCGAAGUCACACAUCCUCACUUCUGUUGUUCCAACCAUGAUUCAAUGUGGCAAGGGGCUGACUACACAAGGCUGUGAACACCGGGAAGGAAAUAUCACUGAAGGACAAAUUGAUGGCUAGCUAACACAGUGUGUAUGUGUUUAAGACAAUAACUCUCUUUUUAAAAUGUAAUUG
rnacentral:lncRNA from 10 species